UGAGGAAUCUUGCGCAAUGGGGGAAACCCUGACGCAGCAAUGCCGCGUGUGUGAGGAAGGUCUUCGGAUUGUAAAGCUCUGUCGGGUGGAAAGAAAUGUAGGAGGUUAAUAGCUUUCAUAUUUGACGUUACCACCAGAGUAAGCACCGGCUAACUCCGUGCCAGCAGCCGCGGUAAUACGGGGGGUGCAAGCGUUGAUCGGAAUUACUGGGCGUAAAGAGCGUGUAGGUGGCUUGGCAAGUCAGAUGUGAAAUCCCUGGGCUUAACCUGGGAAGUGCAUUCAAAACUAGUAAGCUAGAGUAGGGUAGAGGGAAGUGGAAUUUCUUGUGUAGAGGUGAAAUUCGUAGAUAUCAGGAGGAACACCAGUGGCGAAGGCGACUUCCUGGCCUUAUACUGACACUGAGGCGCGAAAGCGUGGGGAGCAAACA
rnacentral:rRNA from 1 species